GAGUUUGAUCCUGGCUCAGGAUGAACGCUGGCGGCGUGCCUAAUACAUGCAAAUCGAGCGAACAGAUAAGGAGCUUGCUCCUUUGACGUUAGCGGCGGACGGGUGAGUAACACGUGGGUAACCUACCUAUAAGACUGGAAUAACUCCGGGAAACCGGGGCUAAUGCCGGAUAACAUUUAGAACCGCAUGGUUCUAAAGUAAAAGAUGGUUUUGCUAUCACUUAUAGAUGGACCCGCGCCGUAUUAGCUAGUUGGUAAGGUAACGGCUUACCAAGGCAACGAUACGUAGCCGACCUGAGAGGGUGAUCGGCCACACUGGAACUGAGACACGGUCCAGACUCCUACGGGAGGCAGCAGUAGGGAAUCUUCCGCAAUGGGCGAAAGCCUGACGGAGCAACGCCGCGUGAGUGAUGAAGGUCUUCGGAUCGUAAAACUCUGUUAUUAGGGAAGAACAAAUGUGUAAGUAACUGUGCACGUCUUGACGGUACCUAAUCA
rnacentral:rRNA from 1 species